UACGAAGGGGGCUAGCGUUGCUCGGAAUCACUGGGCGUAAAGCGCACGUAGGCGGCUUUUUAAGUCAGGGGUGAAAUCCUGGAGCUCAACUCCAGAACUGCCUUUGAUACUGGGAAGCUCGAGUCCGGGAGAGGUGAGUGGAACUCCGAGUGUAGAGGUGAAAUUCGUAGAUAUUCGCAAGAACACCAGUGGCGAAGGCGGCUCACUGGUCCGGUACUGACGCUGAGGUGCGAAAGCGUGGGGAGCAAACAGG
rnacentral:rRNA from 1 species